rnacentral:tRNA from 1 species
GGGCGGUUAGCUCAGUUGGCAGAGCGCCUGCCUUACACGCAGGUGGCCAGCGGUUCGAACCCGUUACCGCCCA